rnacentral:rRNA from 1 species
CCCGCUGAACUUAAGCAUAUCAAUAAGCGGAGGAAAAGAAACUAACAGGGAUUGCCUCAGUAACUGCGAGUGAAGCGGCAACAGCUCAAAUUUGAAAUCUGGCUCUUUCAGGGUCCGAGUUGUAUUUUGGAGAAGAUGCUUCGGGGGUGGCUCCUGUCUAAGUUCCUUGGAACAGGACGUCAUAGAGGGUGAGAAUCCCGUACGUGACUCGUUGCGUUCGCGCUAUGUGAAGCUCUCUCGAAGAGUCGAGUUGUUUGGGAAUGCAGCUCAAAAUGGGUGGUAAAUUCCAUCUAAAGCUAAAUAUUGGCGAGAGACCGAUAGCGAACAAGUACCGUGAGGGAAAGAUGAAAAGCACUUUGGAAAGAGAGUGAAACAGUACGUGAAAUUGUUGAAAGGGAAACGCUUGAAGUCAGUCGCGUCUUCUGGAACUCAGCCGUGCUUCUGCUAGGCGCAUUUUCCAGUUUGACGGGUCAGCAUCGGUUUCGGUGGGCAGACAAAGGCGCAGGGAAGGUGGCCGCUCCGGUGGUGUUAUAGCCCUGCGUUGUAUGUGCCCGCUGGGACCGAGGAAUCCGGCUCGCGCCUGGGAUGCUGGCGUAAUGGCUCUAAGCGACCCGUCUUGAAACACGG